GGACGAACUCUGGCGGCGUGCUUAACACAUGCAAGUUGAACGGUAUGACAUGGAAGCUUGCUGAAGUGUCAUAUAGUAGCGGACGGGUGAGUAAUGCAUGAGAAGCUGCCAUUGGGAGGGGGACAACAGUUGGAAACGGCUGCUAAUACCCCGUAUGCCGGAAGGUGAAAGGGAGUAAUCCGCCCGAUGAGGUGCUCAUGUCCUAUCAGCUGGUUGGUGGGGUAACGGCCUACCAAGGCGACGACGGGUAGCCGGCCUGAGAGGGUGAACGGCCACACUGGAACUGAGAUACGGUCCAGACUCCUACGGGAGGCAGCAGUGGGGAAUAUUGGGCAAUGGGGGCAACCCUGACCCAGCGACGCCGCGUGGGGGAAGACGGCCUUCGGGUUGUAAACCUCUUUUGUACGGGAAGAAGGAAGUGACGGUACUGUACGAAUAAGUCCCGGCUAACUACGUGCCAGCAGCCGCGGUAAUACGUAGGGGACGAGCGUUGUCCGGAAUUACUGGGCGUAAAGGGCGCGCAGGCUGUGCUGCAAGUCAGCUGUUAAAUGUCUGGGCUUAACCCGGGCAUGCGGUUGAGACUGCGGUGCUGGAGUGCUGUAGAGGCAAGUGGAAUUCCCAGUGUAGCGGUGAAAUGCGUAGAUAUUGGGAAGAACACCGGUGGCGAAGGCGACUUGCUGGGCAGCAACUGACGCUGAGGCGCGAAAGCCAGGGGAGCAAACGGGAUUAGAUACCCCGGUAGUCCUGGCCGUAAACGAUGAAUGCUAGGUGUGGGUGUAGAGAUACAUUCGUGCCGGAGUUAACGCGAUAAGCAUUCCGCCUGGGGAGUACGGUCGCAAGAUUGAAACUCAAAGGAAUUGACGGGGGCCCGCACAAGCGGUGGAGCACGUGGUUUAAUUCGAUGCAAA
rnacentral:rRNA from 1 species